rnacentral:lncRNA from 1 species
GCACAUGCGCAGAAUCAUCGUGGUGCACGGCUCUCCCUUUGCUUCUUCGGUUGCAGUCCUCUUGCUUCUUGCGCGUGCGUGUAGCGCUUUUGCAAAGCCGCGGAGGUGAAGUGAACUUAGAGGUUGUGGGGCCGAGGGGUCGUCUUAUAGCUACCAGCCCACAGGCAUUUAGUCUACGUUGGAGGUAAACAAAUACGGGUCCUGCUUAGGAGAAAAGAAAAACGUCUUACAGCCAGUGUCUAAACUCCAAACAACGGAAUGUAUCAAUGAGACCUUGUAUAUGGAUACACGUGCAUUUAAAACCGCCCUGCCGGCUUGUAGAGCUUUUGCCGUUCUCCAGCGCUUUACAGGGGUUAUCGCACUUAAGCCUCGGAACAACUUUACCAGAUGAGGACACCUGAGGUUCAGAUUAAGAAAUCUGCCCCAAAGUCUUAGAACUGGUAUUCUCCACUGGUUGAAUGCAAAUGGAAGCCAGAGGAAAAGGGAACCCUUGACACAGUUUUCAUAUAGAUUGGCCUCCAGGGCAGACAGCAGGAGUGGGGUUUAAUCUGGACUGAAUUGGAGGAAAGGAACUGGCACCAGAGUGGAGGCUGGAAGGAUGGUGGAACUGACACUGGGACAGAACACAGAAAACAGAAUCUAAUGCUAUUGCUCUGGCUAUAUCAAAUAAAAGUGUCAAGAGUGAGCAUCCUUGCCUUGUGCUGAAUCACAAAGGAAUACCUUUCAGUUUUUCUCCAUUGAUUAUGAUAGCAGUGGGCUUUUCACAGUGGGCUUUACUGUGUUGAGAUGGAAAUUUGAAUGCUGGGGCUCAGUGGAACACCUGAAGGAAGCUGGUGAGGCAGAUGUCCCGCUAUGCCUUCCAAGUGUCAUGCAACCAGUUCAUGCCUGUCAGCAUCUCUGCCGGUGGACUCUGUGAGUCAGCAAAUCUACAGAGCAGAGAGCCACAAGUGGGGACAGAUGUGGUCAAAUGCCAUUUAAAUCAGUGAUUCUCAACCCAGGAGUUGUCAUGGCACUGGCCUUGAGUGAGCUGGACCAAGGGAAGUGGUAGAAUUCCCCAUGAAGGACCAAGUGAGCAGAUAGAAGUUUCUCCAUUUUAACUUUUUCUGAGUCAAUUUAAAAAACACCUAGUGCCUUUUUCUGU